AAGUCGUAACAAGGUUUCCGUAGGUGAACCUGCGGAAGGAUCAUUAUACGUUUAUCCAACGUACCAACCAACGCGCUCUCGUUUAACCAGAGUCUGUGCACGAGCUUUCUUAGGCCAUCCAAAAUAUGGUGGGAACCGCAAGGUUCUGUUUGGGUGGUCGAUCACGAACUCGCGCACUGCAACCAUUUUUUUUUUAAUAUAUUUAAAACGCAUUGUAAUCACUUGUACUAAUUACGAAAAACAUCUUUGUUUUUUUUAUUACAUAUUUUUUUUGACUAAAAACAGUAACAAAAAAAAGAGAGGUGGAAUUAAGACAUUAAUUGCUGAACAACUCUUAGCAACGGAUAUCUUGGUUCUC
rnacentral:misc_RNA from 1 species